AGAGUUUGAUCCUGGCUCAGGAUGAACGCUAGCUACAGGCUUAACACAUGCAAGUCGAGGGGAAACGACAUCGAAAGCUUGCUUUUGAUGGGCGUCGACCGGCGCACGGGUGAGUAACGCGUAUCCAACCUGCCCACCACUUGGGGAUAACCUUGCGAAAGUAAGACUAAUACUCAAUGACGUCUCUAGAAGACAUCUGAAAGAGAUUAAAGAUUUAUCGGUGAUGGAUGGGGAGUGCGUCUGAUUAGCUUGUUGGCGGGGUAACGGCCACCAAGGCUACGAUCGAGUAGGGGUUCUGAGAGGAAGGUCCCCACAUUGGAACUGAGACACGGUACCAAACUCCGUACGGGAGGCA
rnacentral:rRNA from 1 species